AGCAGCCGCGGUAAUUCCAGCUCCAAUAGCGUAUAUUAAAGUUGUUGCAGUUAAAAAGCUCGUAGUUGAAUUUCGGGAUUGGCGCAUCGGUCGUGCCUCACGGAGUAUGAACUGGUGCAGUCAAUUUCUCACCUUCUGGAGAACCGCGAUGUCCUUAAUUGGAUGCCGCGGGGAACCAGGACCUUUACUUUGAAAAAAUUGAGUGUUUAAAGCAGGCAUUUUUGCUUGAAUACAUUAGCAUGGAAUAAUAAAAUAGGACGGCAUGGUUCUAUUUUGUGGUUUCUAGGACCACCGUAAUGAUUAAUAGGGAUAGUUGGGGGCAUUAGUAUUCAAUUGUCAGAGGUGUAAUUCUUGGAUUUAUUGAAGACUAACUACUGCGAAAGCAUUUGCCAAGGAUGUUUUCAUUAAUCAAGAACGAAAGUUAGGGGAUCGAAGACGAUCAGAUACCGUCGUAGUCUUAACCAUAAACUAUGCCGACUAGGAAUCAGACGAUGUUAAUUUUUAAUGACUCGUUUGGCUA
rnacentral:rRNA from 1 species